GACAGAGGGUGCGAACGUUGUUCGGAAUUACUGGGCGUAAAGCGCGUGUAGGCGGCCAAGAAAGUCGGAUGUGAAAGCCCUGGGCUCAACCCAGGAAGUGCACCCGAUACUGCUUGGCUAGAGUAUCGGAGAGGUUGGUGGAAUUCUCGGUGUAGAGGUGAAAUUCGUAGAUAUCGAGAGGAACACCGGUGGCGAAGGCGGCCAACUGGACGAAUACUGACGCUGAGACACGAAAGCGUGGGGAGCAAACAGG
rnacentral:rRNA from 1 species